GAGUGUGGAAAUGGGUUAACUCAAAGUGUAGGAAUCAAAAAGAGGCCAAACACUCCAACACAUGGAGUGUGCAGCCACACACAUGUGUUUGCGGCCUCACACCCUUCCCAACCGCACACUCCACCUAUAUAUACCACAGUUAGUCAUUUUUGAACACUUCUUUCACUUCUUCAAGCAUAGAACUCGAAAUCCUCUCAAGUAUCACCCUAACCUCCUUGAAGAUCUUCAUAAAAGGUACCAAGAACACCAAGAACACCAUCUGGCCGCACACAUGGUAGCACACAACAUCUGGCAGCACACAUGGCCGCACACAGGGCCGCACACCUGGCCGCGCACACACAUAUAGUGUGUAUUUUGGCCAUACACCCUCUUGUAUAGCCUUAUAAACCCUCAUACAAUCAUAUAUGAUUGUAACACUUCAUUAUAAGUGUUUACUAGUCCCUAAGGUGGUCCCAAAACCAUUAUUCAGUCGUUCAUAACACUAAUUAUAUUCAUAUAUAUGCCAAUAUAUGCUAAAUAGGAUUCGCGUGUGUACUCAAGCCGCCACUUGAUACUUAGCAACUGAUCUAACAUUUUCAUCAGAACCACUCACUAAGGGUGAGUUCAUACCCCUUAAUCAAUGUUUUAAACUGUUUGUAAACGUUUUAUGGGGGGGGAUACAAGUAGAAUUAUGCUAAUUAUUAUAUCAAUCACAUGUGAUUAAUAAGCAGCAUUCAAAUGAUUGGCUACUCAUUAGCCGUUUUACUAAACAGUUUCCUUCAAAUGUCUUUCAUAAACACUUUAUGUGUUUAAAACUCCUUAUUUCUCUGUACAUUUUACUCUGUAUAUUACUUUUCAAAAUUAUUUACAAUUGUGAUUCAAACAAAUUUUCUUUAUACUAAAGUUGUUUCAUCAAACCCAUGCCUUCAAAACCAUUUUAUAGAUCGACAUCAAGUCGGUCUUUUCUUAGAAAAUAAUUAUGUUCAAAAGUUUUACAAAUAUUAUUUUAUGCUUUUAAAUUAUAAAUUGCAUGCCUCUAUAUGUAUAGUUAUAUAAGAAAUGUUUAAAAGACUUAGGAAGGCUAUCCACCCUAUUUCCUUUUCGCGCUUGAGAUGUGGUCUGGUGGGAUAUCGGGUGCUCGUCCGAAGGUCGUUUAAAUAUUAGUUAUAUAACAUAUGUACAUGUAUAGUCAUAAAGGCCCUUCCAGUUCAUCCCAUGCCCUUGGGUAGCAAGGGUAUACAUCCAUGUCCAUACGUACCAGUUAGAUUACUAGUAAACUACCAUAUGGGUAGUUUAGGAAGAUACUAGAACUAUUACUAGAACACAAUAUCAUACUAUGAGUCAGUUCAUUCAUGAGUCAAUACUUACUACUAUGAGAACAUAUACAACUAUACUAGAGAAGAACAUAUACAACUAUACUAGAGAAGAACAUAUACAACUAUACUAGAAGAGAACAUAUACAACUAUACUAGAAAGAGAACAUAUACAACGAUACUAGAACGAGUACAUUACUAUACUUGCUAGGUAGAGAGCACGUACAUUACAGCUAGAACAGUUCAUUACAUUACAUAUACAUGAAUACGUUAAUUAUUGUGAUCCACUGUAUCGGAGCAUGCCUUAAAUGUCAUGGCCCGAGUUGUAGCCAGAAUUCUCUUGGAGGGAGAGCGUGAGUUUGCGUAUAGAUCUAUACUGGAUUGACUAUCCUACACCUUGCUGCUAGCUACAGCCGGACCUGCAGGUCUGCGGGUGCCAAACGUCAUUCCGUUAUUACGACCAUUCGUAUGUCGUUGUUACCAGUCGAUAGUAUGGUGCAAUUAAUCACAUGAUGCCUUAAUAUAAAUCCGGUUUAAGGUAGUUAGUACAGCAGUAGUUCCUAUAAUACAACACUACAGUACUACAUUAAUUUCCCCUUUUCACAUUUUAGUGAUCAUUUCACUUAAACAUUAAAUGUAAAAACUAUAUUUUGUAAAUGAUAGUUACACUUGGGAAAAUUACACACUUUUACAAGAAACGAACAUUUAGAACAGUUAAGUCUUGGUAGAAGACUACAUUGAGAACAGUUAGGUCUUGGUAGAAGACACACUUUAUAUAAUAGUAGGAAUCAUAGGGAUUUCUAGGGUUUUUCAAACGUUUACAGUUGUUUUACAAACAUUUUUACAUUUACAGUUCAUAUACAUUUUCAAUACUUACAAUUCAUAUACAUUUUCCAUACUUACAGUUCAUAAACUUACAAAUUCUUACAUACAAAUUAAGACACUAAAAUACUUAUGAUCUCACCAGCUUCAAAGCUGAUACUCGCUUUCAAAAUUACUUGUAUCCUCAGGUCAUCAUAGACAGGUACCGAUGCAAGGAGUAGGGAAGAUGGAGCUCGUUGAAGACUCAUCUUUCAUUUUGAUUUAUGCUUUAGUGUUUAUCAAAAUUUGACAGAACACACUUGUAUAAUAAUUAUAUUAUUAAUGCAAUGGAUGAUGUUGUUGCUUGUUUACUACUUUACAUUGUUGUGAUACUGUACAUGACGUCCUCCGCCCCAGAACGUUUCCGCCGUUCUUGGUUUUGGGGUGUGACAGAUUGGUAUCAGAGCAUUGUUUAUAGUGAAUUAAGUAUAUCAACCCAUAAAAGAUAUACUAACUAUAAAUACAUAAGGGAUUAAAAAUACUCUGACCAAGAGUUUAUACUUUAAAUAAUAAAAUAUUUAAGUAAGUAUACGUGCCUGCAUUCAUACUAAAAUCAGUGUCACUAGGACAGUACAAAAGAAUUACGAUUGUUGGGCAACACAAGUGGGCUUAGAGACAUAUGGUCAAAACUGGGAAGAUAUAGCCUGAUCACCUAUAUUAUCCGAGGGUUGACUAGCAUGUGCCUAAGUUUAAUUGUGUGGUUGCAACAAUGCUAAAAUCUUACCAACCCUACCACAAUGAGAACAAUAGAACAUAACAUUAAAAUUUAAAAUACUAUAGGAGUAUUUGGUGUUACUAUAAGUACUUUAUACUUGAGAACUAAAACGGGAUCUUCAUUACUAAGUUGAUAGUUGCUAAGUGGAUACACUAAGGCUAUAUGUAAUUAGGAUGUUAUAGACUUAGAAUCUGUGAAAAUUUUACUUCACCCCUAUUCUGUGUGAAUAUGGAGUUAAGGUCACUUAUUCGAAGGCCUAUCCUGUUUCGAUUACAUAUAGCUGGUAUGCACUUCACAAAUAGCGAUGUAACUGAUGAAGAUUUUCUAAAUAAUUAUCUAGAUAGUUCGUCUAAUAAUUAUUUCUUACCCCAAAUUCUCGCAUAGAUAACAUGGUUAGACUCCAUCCCUGCGGCAACCAGUAUCUUCCGAACGAAGUCAUUGCUGGUUGGUUUGGAGAAGAACCAGAGAAUGAUCAUCCUAUCCCUUUGAAUGAUCACCAUGAUGAAAACCUUUCAGACGAUGCUAAUUCUGACCCAGAGGUUGAGAACCUACCCCAGGCAGCUCCUGUUCCAAUUCCUAACCCUCGUCCGGCUUUUCAUGGCCCGACGCCUCCAUGGGUGGAAUGUUUGGAAACAUGGAGCCAAGGACAAGAUCAUCCCAUUCCAUUUAAUGGCGACCGAAGCUUUUACAACCUGAGCAAUGGGGGCUCAGCAGAUAGAAUCUUGCCAAUCUUCGUCCGCAGAGUGGCCUGAAAUGAGAUUCAAGGCAGGACAGCCCUACAUCAGAUUACCGAACUUGUCGCUAAUGCGAGAAUGCAUACCCUCCGCACCAUUCGUCUAGAAGAUGCUCGCGAGAGAUCAGAGAGAAACCAUGAAACCCUGCUGCAAGCACUGGCUGAAUCAUGAGCCGAAGUCAUAGAGCUCCGAGUACGCCAGAGAGUGUACGAAAGACACCUGCUCGACAUGGAACGUCAACUGGCUGAACUGAGAGUUCACCUGAGGGAUGACUGUCGUCAGUAAUAGAUUCUUUACCUUACUUUCCUUGUUGGAAAGUAAUCAUUUUCUGUCUUUGCUCGAUGUGGCAUUUUCUAUGAGGUUACCUUGUACUGUAAGUACUUUAGGUUAGGUCCUUUAUGCUGUCAGGAACUAUCUUCUUUGGAUAUGAUGUAAGACCUUUACAAGGUCAUUUUCCCGAAUCUUUACGUCUUGAAUAUCAAAGAUAUUGACAGCCGGCUAACUCCUGUGUCAUUCGUUAUUCAAGUACUCUUAUCAUACUUUCAUUAGAGUCUAUCUGAAACCUGCUUUAGUCAAGUCAUUGGACUAUAGUAAUUUAGCUCCGGAGACAUUUCCAAGUCUCUUUCAGUGGUUGGAUCUUGUUAUUCACCAACCCACGAUACCUCGGCUUGAACGACAAACGUCUUGAGACCAUUCUACGAACUUACUUCUACUCAUUACUAGGACUGCAUCAUAGUGAUGUAGGUCAAACCUUCACGAUCAUACCUCCAAUCCGUACUAGGACUGCAUCAUAGGGAUGUAGGUCAACCUUUUGAGAACAUACUCUUACUCUUUUCUUGAGCAAUGGAAGUACAUCUAGGGUCAACCAGAAUCGCUCACAAAAUCCUUAUCUUUCGUGUUACAGAAUCAUGUCGUCGUCAGGAAACAAUCAGCCGAGCAACGAAACCCCUAUCCUCCAUAUCGACACCGCAACAUUACAAGCUGCAGUAGCAGCUGCUGUGACAAAUUUCCUUACACAUAUCAACUCAGGCAACACAAACAAGACUGAAAAAGGAGCCGGGAGUUCCGAUGGUAGUACCAAACCAGGAAACCAACAAACAGUAACAGUCACAGGCUCGCAAAGCCGAAAGACAGAGAACAAGAAACGAAGGUGUCAAGCUCAGAAGGAAUGCAAGAAAUCCCAACAACUUGCCAUGCAACAGCAACAAGUGGAAACCCCUUCCAUUCCCGUACCGAGCAAGCCAUACGAGGGAAAAUUCCCGAAGUGUGAUAAGUGUAGUUUCCACCAUCAUGGGGCUUGCCAUGAGAUGCAAUGUUGCAAUUGCCUAAAAAUAGGACACCAUGCUCGUGGCUGUGGAGCACCGGUACGACCCAUCACUCAAGUCCCUUUCAUCGGGACUAACCCUACACACGAGAGUAGUUAUAACCCCGAACGCUUUAGGAAGCAAUUUUCAAAGUGGAGUAACGAGGAAGGCACUCAUGUCCACAUAACACUGGCUAAACACCGCAAUCCCGUCACCAAAGCUAGUGCCAGCCAGUCAUGCCACCAAUGCGGGGAGAUAGGGCACUUCAAGAAGGAUUGCCCUAUAGCAAAGAACUCUGGCGCAGAUGGGAGGAUUCUCAGGAUCACAGCUGCAGGAGAGCCUACUCCAGAACCCUCGUUAAUGUAACUUAGGCAUGUUGUUGUAACAGACUUAUAAUCUAUCCAGAACAAGUGCAACUAGAGUCUUACCUUUUGCGAGAUCUUGUCUGUAUAGGGAUUCUCGUGCUGCGUACACUUGUCUUUUGUAGUAUAUCUUAUUCACAGCAAUAGUCUUGUGGUAAAUCUGAAGUACUGUAACUUUGUUCAUGGUUGCACGGUAGUGUUUUGUCUGUAAGCGUCUUAUGUUCAAAUCUAAUGUCUUUAAGUUUCAGUAUGAUUCCGACAUUGUCAUACAACUCGAUUCAAUUUGAUCCUGACAAAAACAGCUUCAUACGUACAUCUCUUUCUUCUAGAUUACUUUUCCAGUGAAGCCGUCAUGUCAGAACACCGAAGUACUCAUGCCAGGAGUACCUCUUAGUUAUUUUCUUUCCGAAGAAAUCCCCGAAGUACCACUCGUGCAGUACGUCAAGUUCAAUCCGAGGAUUUAUACGAUUGAUCUAUCACUGAGGAAUGUAUGCAUAAGAGUGAUAUAUAAUCAAGGUUCUGCAGGUUUAGAAUUGAUGAUUCCACUUUAACUUUUUUUUAUCCCCGAUGGGAUGUGAGCUUAAAGAAGAAUCAGUUAUUCGACUACCUUUUCAAUCUUAAUUAUAUACGACUCGUAUACACGAAAUUGUGAUUGUGAAACCAGGUAUGAAUUCUAAUAUGAACUUUAAGACGGAGAACUGCCUAGGUCUACGAGUAAUCACAUCGUCAUGUGAACAAACUUAGAACCCAGUACGACUCUUGUAAACAGAUCGCCCUAUAGUCUAAACACCUACGGAAAUACCAGAACAGUACAGAAAACUUAACGAACUGCACAACGAUAGAAUAAGAAGACUAGGCUUCUCACCCUGGAGAACCCCCAGUCUUAUUCUCCCAGAGAUCGACGGAUUGCAUCGUAUGUGCCUCGGAUAUCGAGGACUCCGUCAAGAUUUUCAUAAGAAAUCGUUAUCUCUGCCUCGCAUAGAUGAAAUGGUUGAGCAAACGCAAGGAAAGAAUUACUUUCAGAAAUGGAUCUGAGAUCCGAAUAUCACCAGUCCGAGUGUUAGGGAAGGAUGUCCGGAAGACUAUCUUCCGAAUUUGAUGCGGACACUUCGAGUCCGUAGUGAUACCCUUCGGAUAGGACCAAUAUGCCCAUAGCUUUCAUGAGCUAAACGAGUAGGGUAAGUCUUUCUUACUUGGAUCAUUUCGUCAUUUCUCCAUGUAAUGACUUACUUAUCUACCCUCGUAGUAAGAAGAAAACCCAUGGAAACAUUUCCUACAUAGGAACUUUUAGCGAAGUUCCCUAGGCACGAGUUUUGAAAUUGAAGAGUCGAAUUUAUAUGACACACUGAUAGUAAUGUGGGAAAUUUUGAGUACUUUUUUUCAAUUUGUCAAAACCGUUGAGCAUUUGUCAACACCAGAGACGCCGACAGUCUUUCACCAAAUUCUAGGUCUUACAGACCUACUGUCAUAGUUCAUUCAGAACCCCUCACAAAUUACAGAAACCUUUACGACUUUGACCCAGCAAGGGGUGGCCCUUGACUGGGAAGUUAAACAAGAAAAAGAAACCUUGGAAAUUCCAAGUGAGUGACCAAGUUCCUUAGGAGAACUCACUCUAGGAAUGACUUAAUACGCUUCGGAUCGUGUGGAAAGCUAAAUCCAAUAUGGUUAGGACCUCCGAGAUUCUUAUCAGAAUCGGUCCUGCGUCUCGCACAAACUAGACCUACUCUGCGAACUCAGUAACGUACAUUAUACUCUUAGCGUCUCGAUCAUGAAACCAUACAUUUCCGUUAGGACUCUUGUAAGUCCACUCGUCGAGAUCCUCUCCUUCAUAUUAGAACCGUAGUGACCCUCGACCGAGAGGUCAAGCGGACGAAGCAUCACCACCGCCUGUUAGUGAAGGUUCGUUGGGAGACCAACCGAGAACCCGAUUUCACUUAGGAGAGCUAGAACCAAUCGAUUAGAAAGUUUCCUCCUCAUGACUCGAUCAUCCGUACCUACUUCCUUGUCUAAAGUCUAACUUCGGGACGAAAUUCCCUUUAACGGGGGGAUGAUGUGACAACCCGAAAAUUUCUAACUUGCAUUCUUCAUUCUUAUCAAUAAUAGACUCGUUUUGCUAUCUUGUAGUACCAUUUAGGGUCUAUUGGAGCGUUCUAAAUGUGUUAUAAUCAAGGUUGGAGUGUGGAAAUGGGUUAACUCAAAGUGUAGGAAUCAAAAAGAGGCCAAACACUCCAACACAUGGAGUGUGCGGCCACACACUUGAGUGUGCGGCCACACACAUGUGUUUGCGGCCUCACACCCUUCCCAACCGCACACUCCACCUAUAUAUACCACACUUAGUCAUUUUUGAACACUUCUUUCACUUCUUCAAGCAUAGAACUCGAAAUCCUCUCAAGUAUCAUCCUAACCUCCUUGAAGAUCUUCAUAAAAGGUACCAAGAACACC
rnacentral:lncRNA from 1 species